rnacentral:rRNA from 1 species
GAUGAACGCUGGCGGCGUGCCUAAUACAUGCAAGUCGAGCGAACAGACGAGGAGCUUGCUCCUCUGACGUUAGCGGCGGACGGGUGAGUAACACGUGGAUAACCUACCUAUAAGACUGGGAUAACUUCGGGAAACCGGAGCUAAUACCGGAUAAUAUAUUGAACCGCAUGGUUCAAUAGUUAAAGACGGUUUUGCUGUCACUUAUAGAUGGAUCCGCGCCGCAUUAGCUAGUUGGUAAGGUAACGGCUUACCAAGGCAACGAUGCGUAGCCGACCUGAGAGGGUGAUCGGCCACACUGGAACCGAGACACGGUCCAGACUCCUACGGGAGGCAGCAGUAGGGAAUCUUCCGCAAUGGGCGAAAGCCUGACGGAGCAACGCCGCGUGAGUGAUGAAGGUCUUCGGAUCGUAAAACUCUGUUAUUAGGGAAGAACAAAUGUGUAAGUAACUAUGCACGUCUUGACGGUACCUAAUCAGAAAGCCACGGCUAACUACGUG